rnacentral:rRNA from 1 species
UACGUAGGACCCAAGCGUUAUCCGGAGUGACUGGGCGUAAAGAGUUGCGUAGGUGGUUAGUAAAGUGAAUAGUGAAAUCUGGCGGCUCAACCGUACAGGCUAUUAUUCAAACUCACUAACUCGAGAAUGGUAGAGGUAACUGGAAUUUCUUGUGUAGGAGUGAAAUCCGUAGAUAUAAGAAGGAACACCAAUGGCGUAGGCAGGUUACUGGACCAUUUCUGACACUGAGGCACGAAAGCGUGGGGAGCGAACCGG